rnacentral:rRNA from 1 species
ACUCCUACGGGAGGCAGCAGUGGGGAAUAUUGCACAAUGGGCGCAAGCCUGAUGCAGCCAUGCCGCGUGUGUGAAGAAGGCCUUCGGGUUGUAAAGCACUUUCAGUCGUGAGGAGGUAGUGUAGUUAAUAGCUGCAUUAUUUGUACGUUAGCGACAGAAGAAGCACCGGCUAACUCCGUGCCAGCAGCCGCGGUAAUACGGAGGGUGCGAGCGUUAAUCGGAAUUACUGGGCGUAAAGCGCAUGCAGGUGGUUUGUUAAGUCAGAUGUGAAAGCCCGGGGCUCAACCUCGGAAUAGCAUUUGAAACUGGCAGACUAGAGUACUGUAGAGGGGGUUAGAAUUUCAGGUGUAGCGGUGAAAUGCGUAGAGAUCUGAAGGUAAUACCGGUGGCGAAGGCGGCCCCUGGACAGAUACUGACACUCAGAUGCGAAAGCGUGGGAG